rnacentral:lncRNA from 1 species
CAUAAAGAGUAGUAUAUAUAUAUGCAAUACUAGAUGUUAAAGAGUAGCACAGAAGUGAGGUUUAACAUGUGCACACAACACACAUGCACAUAUAUGUCUGUACAUGCAUGAAGAGUACACAUGUACUACUAUAAGCACAUAAGAGAUGUAUAUACACAUGUAGUACCUUAAACACAUAGUCACAUGCACGUAACACAUGAAGGAUGCAUAUACAAUAUGAAAAUAUUGUACACAUGCGCAUAUAUGUGUAUAUGUCCAAAGAGCACAUGUACAAUAUCACCCGUAAAGAGAGACACACAAAUAUAUUAUAUGUAUGUGUAUAUAUCCUCAUAGUUGGAACAUAGAGUCUUGAGUGAUGUUUAAAAAAAAAGAGCAACCAAAAAAUGUGUUUUUGAAGACAUAUACAAC